rnacentral:snRNA from 1 species
GUGCUCACUUCGGCAGCACAUAUGCUAAAAUUGGAACGACACAGAGAAGAUUAGCAUGGUCCCUGUGCAAGGGUGGCACACAAAUGAGUGAAGUGUUCCAUUAAAAA